UACGGAGGGAGCUAGCGUUGUUCGGAGUUACUGGGCGUAAAGGGUGUGUAGGCGGUUGGAUAAGUGUGGUGUGAAAUCUCCCGGCUUAACUGGGAGGGUGCGCUACAAACUGUCUGACUAGAGUAUGGGAUGGGAGAGUGGAAUUCCUGGUGUAGCGGUGAAAUGCGUAGAUAUCAGGAGGAACACCGGUGGUGUAGACGGCUCUCUGGACCAUUACUGACGCUGAGACACGAAAGCGUGGGUAGCAAACAGG
rnacentral:rRNA from 1 species